CGCCAAGCUGGUUAGGCAGCGGCUUUUGAUGCCGCCAUUCACAGGUUCGAAUCCGUCGUAGCCACCA
rnacentral:tRNA from 1 species